rnacentral:tRNA from 1 species
CACUGUAGCUUAGUGGCAAAGCGUUGCACUAGUAAUGCAAAGAUCAUGAGUUCGAAUCUCAUCAGCGC